UCCAAGCGUAAUGGCAAUCCCUCAUUUGAGGGAAUAAGGGAAUGGCCAUUCCCAACCCACCCCCAGUAAUCGGAUUCCCAUUCCAGCCGGUUAAAAGGAAAAUGACCGUAAAACCCCUCAAACCCCCGAUUCAAGUUUGCAACCUUCUUUCUCCUCCCUCUCGUCACUCCCUCCUUCAAAACCUUCUGCAGCUCGGCGGCUGAACUCUGAAGAUCCGACCUGUAUUACUCUGGCCAGAUCUGCUCUACUCUAUUGGGAUCGAUCUACUUCUUCACUGCUACCAUAACUAGUUUUUCACACCAGUCAAUCCAGGCAAUCGCACUCUGGAGUUUAUCCUGACUAUACCAAUGAAUCAUCUAAUCUCGCUUCAGGGAGGCUAAAUGCGGAAGCUGUGACAUUGCUGCUUGAUAAAUGGUGGGGAUCUGGCAUUGUCCAUGCAACAGUUUGGAUGUCAGAUCAUAAAGAUGUCUAUAUUGGCUCUGCUAACAAUGACUGGAAAUCUCUCUCUCAGGCUAAGUUGGUUUAGUGUUGCAGAAAAUGUUCGCUCAAGGGAUUGCUCUUAAUCUUGACUUCGCAUUUUAGAAGUGAAAAUCAUGGAACCCAGAUGCGUCUUUCAGUUUAUACACUUUCUUACUUAUCUCACCCCAUAAUUGGUUCAUGAGGUUAGAUGGUUCAGAUGGAACUCACUGUAAAAAAUAUGGGUUCAGAUGCUAGAAGGUUAGGAUUUAUUCAUCAAUCACCAAAUUACAACCAAAUUCUAACCUUUUAAGCUGAAGUUCAAUUGUAGAAGAUGAAAUGUAGGAGUGGCAUUGUAUUAUAGAUGCAAGAUUUUUGUUUUUAAACAUUCAUGUUGUACUAGUAAUAUUUCCACCAUUAUGAGAGAUUUUUGUUUAUUUA